UACGGGGGGAGCAAGCGUUGUUCGGAUUUACUGGGCGUAAAGCGCUCGCAGGUGGUUCGAUGCGUCGUGCGUGAAAGACCCCGGCUCAACUGGGGAGUGUCGUGCGAUACGGUCGGACUGGAGGCCAGUAGGGGGAUGCGGAAUUCCGGGUGUAGUGGUGGAAUGCGUAGAGAUCCGGAGGAACACCAGCGGCGAAGGCGGCAUCCUGGACUGGUCCUGACACUCAUGAGCGAAAGCGUGGGGAGCGAUCCGG
rnacentral:rRNA from 1 species